rnacentral:rRNA from 1 species
AGGAGUUUGAUCCUGGCUCAGGAUGAACGCUAGCGGCAGGCUUAACACAUGCAAGUCGAGGGGCAGCGCGGUAGCAAUACUGGCGGCGACCGGCAAACGGGUGCGGAACACGUACGCAACAUACCCUUGUCUGGGGCAUAGCCCGAAGAAAUUCGGAUUAACACCCCAUAAGAUCAUAGAAUGGCAUCAUUUAGUGAUUAAAAAUUUAUUGGACAGGGAUUGGCGUGCGUCCUAUUAGCUAGUUGGUAAGGGUAACGGCCUACCAAGGCAACGAUAGGUAGCUGGUGUGAGAGCACGACCAGCCACACGGGCACUGAGACACGGGCCCGACUCCUACGGGAGGCAGCAGUGAGGAAUAUUGGUCAAUGGACGCAAGUCUGAACCAGCCAUGCCGCGUGAAGGAUGAAGGCGUUCUGCGUUGUAAACUUCUUUUAUCUGGGAAGAAACCUGAUUAUUCUUAGUCAGCCGACGGUACCAGAGGAAUAAGCACCGGCUAACUCCGUGCCAGCAGCCGCGGUAAUACGGAGGGUGCAAGCGUUAUCCGGAUUUACUGGGUUUAAAGGGUGUGUAGGCGGACUUUUAAGUCAGCGGUCGAAAUCUCCGGGCUCAACCCGGAAACUGCCAUUGAUACUAUUGGUCUUGAAUAUUGUUGAGGUGGGCGGAACGGGUCAUGUAGCGGUGAAAUGCAUAGAUAUGACCCCGGAACACCCGAUUGCGAAGGCANGCCCACUAAGCAANUGAUUGACCGCUGGGGCCACGAAAGCGUCGGGGAUCAAACAGGAUUAGAUACCCUGGUA